rnacentral:rRNA from 1 species
AGAAUCAACGCUGGCGGCGUGCCUAACACAUGCAAGUCGAACGAGAAAGGGUAGCAAUACCUGAGUAAAGUGGCGCACGGGUGAGUAACACGUGACUAACCUACCUUUUAGUGGGGGAUAACCUAGGGAAACCUGGGCUAAUACCGCAUAAUACCUACGGGUCAAAGCAGCAAUGCGCUGAAAGAGGGGGUCGCGGCCGAUUAGCUAGUUGGCGGGGUAAUGGCCCACCAAGGCAGUGAUCGGUAUCCGGCCUGAGAGGGCGCACGGACACACUGGAACUGAAACACGGUCCAGACUCCUACGGGAGGCAGCAGUGGGGAAUUUGCGCAAUGGGGGAAACCCUGACGCAGCAACGCCGCGUGGAGGAUGAAGUCCCUUGGGACGUAAACUCCUUUCGAUCGGGACGAUAAUGACGGUACCGGAAGAAGAAGCCCCGGCUAACUUCGCGCCAGCAGCCGC